rnacentral:rRNA from 1 species
AAAUUGAAGAGUUUGAUCAUGGCUCAGAUUGAACGCUGGCGGCAGGCCUAACACAUGCAAGUCGAACGGUAACAGGAAGCAGCUUGCUGCUUUGCUGACGAGUGGCGGACGGGUGAGUAAUGUCUGGGAAACUGCCUGAUGGAGGGGGAUAACUACUGGAAACGGUGGCUAAUACCGCAUAACGUCGCAAGACCAAAGAGGGGGACCUUCGGGCCUCUUGCCAUCAGAUGUGCCCAGAUGGGAUUAGCUUGUUGGUGAGGUAACGGCUCACCAAGGCGACGAUCCCUAGCUGGUCUGAGAGGAUGACCAGCCACACUGGAACUGAGACACGGUCCAGACUCCUACGGGAGGCAGCAGUGGGGAAUAUUGCACAAUGGGCGCAAGCCUGAUGCAGCCAUGCCGCGUGUAUGAAGAAGGCCUUCGGGUUGUAAAGUACUUUCAGCGGGGAGGAAGGUGUUGCGGUUAAUAACCGCAGCAAUUGACGUUACCCGCAGAAGAAGCACCGGCUAACUCCGUGCCAGCAGCCGCGGUAAUACGGAGGGUGCAAGCGUUAAUCGGAAUUACUGGGCGUAAAGCGCACGCAGGCGGUCUGUCAAGUCGGAUGUGAAAUCCCCGGGCUCAACCUGGGAACUGCAUUCGAAACUGGCAGGCUUGAGUCUUGUAGAGGGGGGUAGAAUUCCAGGUGUAGCGGUGAAAUGCGUAGAGAUCUGGAGGAAUACCGGUGGCGAAGGCGGCCCCCUGGACAAAGACUGACGCUCAGGUGCGAAAGCGUGGGGAGCAAACAGGAUUAGAUACCCUGGUAGUCCACGCCGUAAACGAUGUCUACUUGGAGGUUGUGCCCUUGAGGCGUGGCUUCCGGAGCUAACGCGUUAAGUAGACCGCCUGGGGAGUACGGCCGCAAGGUUAAAACUCAAAUGAAUUGACGGGGGCCCGCACAAGCGGUGGAGCAUGUGGUUUAAUUCGAUGCAACGCGAAGAACCUUACCUGGUCUUGACAUCCACGGAAGUUUUCAGAGA